UUGUAUGAGGAUAUAGAAGAGUCCUCUGGGCUGCAACAACCAUGCAUGGCUUGCGAUGGAGCAGACUCUCUCAUCUGCUUCCUACCUCUACCACCCUGUGGUGGUGGCAUGUCAAAGCCCACACUUCUCUUUUUCCCCUCAUCAAUCUUCUCAUUUUUGGUUCUCACACCCUCUUCUCCCCCCCCAGUUCUUGCCUUAUAAUUCUCUUUGUUGGUGUGAGAGGUUGAAGCUGCCAGCAUGAUCUGGUCCAGAGUUGUUGUUUCAUGGUUUAGACUUUGGAGCUCCCAUAAGCAUUAGCUGUAGGAAGAUUACUCAGCCUGAUCAUGGUGAUGGGAUCAAAACCAGUAGAUGCUAGAUUAGCUUCCAUUCCACCAUGAGAGAGUGAGGAAGAAAGAGAAAGAUGACCAGUUGGUUGGACUCCAUCAGAUCAUCUGGCAGUUUCAAUCACUCACUCACCAACAGAAGGUUUCACUUUCUGGUUCUCUUCAUGACAGGCUGAAUGCUUGCUCAUAAUUUGCAGAGAAAGCUCACAAAAGAUCCAAUUUGGUGGUGAGAGAAGCUACUUUCAUUGUUGUCAGCAAACUAAAAUGCUAUUGGACUCCAUGACCAUCAGCACUAUCACACAGUGGUUGGAGCAGCACAAAGGGAGUAAGUGAACUACUACUCACUUCAGUAAUCAUACACAGUUUUCUUGGCAAUUGUUUUUGUGUUCAGCUUCUGAACCUGAAGAACAAGCAGAAGAUUAAUUCAGAAUGUCUUGCCUAAUAGUCCAAAAUUGUGACUGUUAUCCUAGCUGGCCUUCUAACCCCAUUGUCUUCUCAAUAAGAUCUAUGAACUUUUGGUACCCAAAAGAUUUGACAUGGUUGACCUCCCUGCUGACCCUGGCUUCUCAAUGUAUCAGCAUAACAAUCUGUAAGACACACUCCUGAUCCUUGUUUCUUUUCUCUUGGGGAGUUCCAAGGACUUGGAUUAGUGAGUAAUCUCUCCUAGCAUUCUCCAGGAAGAAAAGACAAAUUGAAGGUCCUGAUAGUGAACCAAAUCCUUGUGUAUCAUGGUGUCUAAAUAUUUCGAAGAAAUGCGGAAAAAUAUUGUUCUCCCAAUGCAGCCAGUUUCAGUUUUUCAGUCUAGUUUGAGUCAGGUGAGGUAAGGAUCUGAGGUGAUUAGGAGUGAGUUGGACUGGUUUGUGAAACUAAUGUGUUCUUAUAAUUUUGCAGCGAUCUUUAAAUGAAGGAAAUGGAUAAUUAAUCCAAUACAAAAUGGUUCAUCCGAAGAAAGAUUAGGCGAUGCAGAUGAAAAUGAAGCAGAAGACACAUACAUAAUUAAAGCAUGAGACAACAACCUUUUUCCUGGAUACACAAAGAUCUGCUGUUUGUUGUGUAUGCUGCAUAUGCAGCAGCAUUCUGCAAGAAAAUAUUAAUGCUUAUAUUCCAUUGGCAGACAUUGCUGCAUCAACUGUGGCAGUUCUACUGUUCCUCAUAAUGCUAGCAAUUCAUGUGUUUCUCAAAAGAAAAACAAUCCAUGUGCCUUUGUUUGCUGCUUCA